AACACAUAUUGUGCUCUUUGGUAUUCUGAAGAGCAUGCUUGUUUGAGUAUCAGUAAACACCUCAACCUCUCUUUUUUGAUAAAAAAAAGGGAGGGUGGACUUGAGCUAUCCCAACGACCUUCACCGGUAGGCGGGCGGCUUGAAAUGCAGGUGCAGCUGGACUUUUAUCUGAGCUAAAAGCAUAUCUAUUUAGUCCUCAUCAAACAGGAUUAUUACUUUUGCUGCAGCUAACAUAAAGGAUAAUUGUCCUCUUUGCUGACUGAUGCAGGAUUUUAUGACACUUUAUGUGUUGUUCAACUCGAUCUCAAAUCAAGUAAGACUACCUGCUGAACUUAA
rnacentral:misc_RNA from 1 species